rnacentral:rRNA from 1 species
CCUGCCUUGGGGUGGGGGAUAGCUCGGGGAAACUCGAAUUAAUACCGCGAUAGGAUCGGGAAGAUCAAAGGGGCGCAAGUCCCGCCAUGAGAGGGGUCCGCGUACGAUUAGGCUAGUUGGUAGGGUAAUGGCCUACCAAGGCGACGAUCGUUAGCCGGCCUGAGAGGGUGAUCGGCCACACUGGAACUGAGACACGGUCCAG